rnacentral:lncRNA from 1 species
UGGAGACAAACUUUUCCCAUUAGCAUGAGCAGUUUCCAAGAAGUACUAAAUUUCUCUGAAUCUCUCCAAGAAUCAGGGUAGAACUGUGAAGUACCAAACAGCCCUUAGUUCGCUACAUGCCCACCCUGUUGCGUCAAAAUUUGCCAGGUUGAAAAGCAUUCUCAUGACUACCUUUAAUGGCUUCCAUGCUAUGUUCUGACGUUGAUUUGCACAAUAAUGGAGUAGGCACUCCAUCUGCUUAGAGCUGCAACUAUUUCUUCCAACGACGCGAUUAGCAAUAUUUGAAAUUGUUGGUGUAAUCGAGGAAUGACCUGUGUCUGGAUUAACUGCGGAUGCCAUUAAGCAUGCUGUCGAAGCGGACACGAUUGCAUAGCAUACAUGCCUCACAAUCGGAGAGGUUUAUAGAAUAGGCAACACAUGAAAAGCGCAUGGGCUUCUGAGUACCCUGCCGGUAGUGUAAAUGGCAGACUGUUUCAGAAGGUAGGUUCCCGAGGAAUUCAGAGUAAGAUGACAGGGCAAGACAGGAUGCAG